GAGUAAUGUCUGGGAAACUGCCUGAUGGAGGGGGAUAACUACUGGAAACGGUAGCUAAUACCGCAUAACGUCGCAAGACCAAAGAGGGGGACCUUCGGGCCUCUUGCCAUCGGAUGUGCCCAGAUGGGAUUAGCUAGUAGGUGGGGUAACGGCUCACCUAGGCGACGAUCCCUAGCUGGUCUGAGAGGAUGACCAGCCACACUGGAACUGAGACACGGUCCAGACUCCUACGGGAGGCAGCAGUGGGGAAUAUUGCACAAUGGGCGCAAGCCUGAUGCAGCCAUGCCGCGUGUAUGAAGAAGGCCUUCGGGUUGUAAAGUACUUUCAGCGGGGAGGAAGGGAGUAAAGUUAAUACCUUUGCUCAUUGACGUUACCCGCAGAAGAAGCACCGGCUAACUCCGUGCCAGCAGCCGCGGUAAUACGGAGGGUGCAAGCGUUAAUCGGAAUUACUGGGCGUAAAGCGCACGCAGGCGGUUUGUUAAGUCAGAUGUGAAAUCCCCGGGCUCAACCUGGGAACUGCAUCUGAUACUGGCAAGC
rnacentral:rRNA from 1 species